GUCUCAGUGGCUUGGCCGACAGGGACGUGGAGGUCUUGAUGGCCUUAGGUUUUGGCUGAGGAGGAGGCGCCGAUGAAGUAGGGUUACAGGUUAGUAAGCCGUGACUCUUGCAUCAUCACUGUUAGGGCCCAAAGGAAAACAGACAUGGACGAAAAGUAACUAUUGUAGGCCAAAGGUAAGCUUAUUAAGUUACCGUUACGUAAUAAUAAACAUGAGCACAAUGUGCAUGCACAUUCACCUACAUUUCAGCAUUUCCUGAGUUUCCUUGCUGUACUGAGUCGUCGUUCGUGGACAGUUCCAGAGUCCCCCAUGUCCAUUUCUGGGAUGCUCCAUGAUCUGAUACAUCAGAUAGAAGCUAGGGUUAUUCUCCGAAAACAAGGAAACGUUAACAUUAUCAUGACUUUUUGUAACUGGACUAAGCUUAAGCUAUAGCCAAUUAUGCUAACGUAACGUUAGCAGCUAGUUAACAUAUUAGGUCAGAACUCACAGAGGUGGACGAGCGACGAGCAACAAUACAACACACAACUGAUUCAAAAUAAUGAGAUGUUAAAGGUAGACUAUUAGAAAAGUAGAUUCCGUAGCAUUAGACUAACGUUAGCGUUCCCCCCAUUCAAAUAAUUCCCAAAUGUACUAUCCUUAUCUGACUAGCUACCAGCUAGCUUGUCAAGUUGCGUCAGGUGGUUGCUAUGGUAACAUGGAGUGCGGGUGUGUUCGCGUGGUUUCCCGUGUCCCGUGCGCAGAAAACAUAACCAGAGAUCUUGUCCACGAACGACGACUCAGUACAGCAAGGAAACUUGCCCAGAGCUGGAUGGGUCUAUUAUAACGCCUGCCACUUCAUCUUGGGACCCAGUUGAAGGUACAGUGUCUUUGAAUUUUCCAUUUCCAAGUAAAAACAAUUUCAUGACCAGGAACUUGAGAGUAACUAACUUUUUUUUUUUUUUUUGUAAACAGCACAAGUGACUCAUCACACAGAGGGAGGUGGCUUGGCCAUGGAGACGGAAUUAAGAGCAAUAAGGACAACCAUUACCGUAUGGCACAGCGAAUGGACGCAUUUGAGGAGAAGAUGGAUGAGCUGCUCAUGCUCUUAAGGAGCUCCCAGUCACCUCCCUCUGCUCCAAUCGAUGACAUGUUGCUGUCGUCCUGCUCGACAGUCACUGAGCUGCAGGAGAGAAGGAACAAAAUGCCCUCCCUCCAGGACUUGUACUCUGGGACCUAAGCGGGCAGAGAUCAUUACCAAAGACUCCACAUAUCCUGCACACUCUUUAACUUCCUCCCCUCUGGCAGGCGCUACAGAUCCCUGGACACAAAAAAAACCAGACACAAGAACAACUCUUUUCCCACUGCCGUCACUCUCCUGAACUGCAGAUAAGUGGGGUCAUCCCCACUUUGACCAUGCACCUGCACAACAUACUUUAUCAUUCCAAUAUGUGUCUUGCACACUACAUUUGCACUAUUACUUUGCACUCUACAUCACACUCCAUGUGUACUUAUAUUGGUAUUAUGUCUUAUUUGUAUUGUUGUUUUGUAUAUUGUGUUGUUAUCUGCCACAAUGUAUAUUGUUGUCUCUAUUGUACAGUAUGUCUGUCUAUUUGUUGAAUGUAUAGAGCACCCACCAAAGUCAAAUUCCUUGUUUUAGUAUACUUGGGUAACAUGGAGUCUGAUGUUUAUAUAUAUUUUUAGACCUUUUAUAUUUUUUUGUAUUUUGAUUAUUUUAUAUUAAAGUUAUAA